rnacentral:rRNA from 1 species
UGCCACAGCCAUAUCACCCUGCAGCCCAAGACUGGUUGCCCACUGAAGCUAAGCAUGGUUGAGCCUGGUCAGUACCUGGAUGGGAGACCACCUGGGAAAACUAGGUUGCUGCAGGAA